UGAACAAAUUAAACUCAUAAGUCAAGGCCCCACUCUAUUGGUCAUUCAUGUAGGGCAAAGGAAAUACCUUUUAAAACUCAAGCAAACUGGGUGUUUCUCUUGUAUCCUGUCAGAGGAAACAAAA
rfam:Myotis brandtii contig204361, whole genome shotgun sequence.